GACAGAGGAUGCAAGCGUUAUCCGGAAUGAUUGGGCGUAAAGCGUCUGUAGGUGGCUUUUUAAGUCUGCCGUCAAAUCCCAGGGCUUAACCCUGGACAGGCGGUGGAAACUACCAAGCUGGAGUACGGUAGGGGCAGAGGGAAUUUCCGGUGGAGCGGUGAAAUGCGUAGAGAUCGGAAGGAACAUCAGUGGCGAAAGCGGCUUCCUGGACCAGUACCGACGUUCAGGCACGAAAGCGUGGGGAGCAAACAGG
rnacentral:rRNA from 1 species